UGGGGAAUAUUGGCACAAUGGGCGCAAGGCCUGAUGCAGCCAUGCCGCGUGUGUGAAGAAGGCCUUCGGGUUGUAAAGCACUUUCAGCGAGGAGGAAGGUGGUGGACUUAAUACGUUCAUCAAUUGACGUUACUCGCAGAAGAAGCACCGGCUAACUCCGUGCCAGCAGCCGCGGUAAUACGGAGGGUGCAAGCGUUAAUCGGAAUUACUGGGCGUAAAGCGCACGCAGGCGGUUUGUUAAGUCAGAUGUGAAAUCCCCGGGCUCAACCUGGGAACUGCAUUUGAAACUGGCAAGCUAGAGUCUCGUAGAGGGGGGUAGAAUUCCAGGUGUAGCGGUGAAAUGCGUAGAGAUCUGGAGGAAUACCGGUGGCGAAGGCGGCCCCCCUGGACGAAGACUGACGCUCAGGUGCGAAAGCGUGGGGAGCAAACAGAUUAGNUACCCUGGUAGUCCACGCUGU
rnacentral:rRNA from 1 species